UAUGGCCAUAUCAUCUUGAAAACCCGGUUCUCGUCCGAACAUCGAAGUUAAGCAACAUCGAACACGAUCAGUAACUGCAUGGUUGACCGCUUGGGAAUACCAGAUUCUGUAA